CGACGACGACGACGACGACGACGACGACAAAGUACAAGACUUUCCUCUGCGUUAUUUUGUUUGGUGGAAUCACGAAUGUUGUUCUCCUCUCGCGUGGUAUAUACUUGCCAGACGGGGAAAUAAACGCAGUCACGUUGGGGGAGCAAAAAAGCCCACGGGAUCUAUUCGGGAACGUUUUACAGACCCUGGCCAUCGAAUUAGGACCACGCACGAAAAUUUCACUUUUACGCGUAUUCAGGUGGCCUAACAGGCCGCCACGUGGGUAAGAGGCGCCUUUAUGCAAGAAAAAUUUAGCGCCCUUUUCCGUGAUACAUGAUUGGUAAAUUACAACAAAUAUACAUUAUACAUUAUAUAAUUAUUUACGUAUUAACCCUCCUAGCUUUGGCUGCCACGAAAUUUUUUCAAAUUGUUACAUGAAUGCUGGUUCUUUUUCUUGAACAUUAUGCGAGCCACUACUUUGUAACAGAUUGUAGAGUGUAUUGUACAUGAUUAGAUCGAUUUCAUAU